rnacentral:misc_RNA from 1 species
GAUGAAGAACGAAGCGAAAUGCGAUAAGUAAUGUGAAUUGCAGAAUUCAGUGAAUCAUCGAAUCUUUGAACGCACAUUGCGCCCGCCAGUAUUCUGGCGGGCAUGCCUGUUCGAGCGUCAUUACAACCCUCAGGCCCCCGGGUCUGGCGUUGGGGAUCGGCGGAAGCCCCCUGCGGGCACAACGCCGUCCCCCAAAUACAGUGGCGGUCCCGCCGCAGCUUCCAUUGCGUAGUAGCUAACACCUCGCAACUGGAGAGCGGCGCGGCCACGCCGUAAAACACCCAACUUCUGAAUGUUGACCUCGAAUCAGGUAGGAAUACCCGCUGAACUUAAGCAUAUCAAUAAGCGGAGGA